UACGAAGGGGGCUAGCGUUGUCCGGAAUCAUUGGGCGUAAAGCGCGCGUAGGUGGCCCCGUAAGUCCGCUGUGAAAGUCAAAGGCUCAACCUUUGAAAGCCGGUGGAUACUGUGGGACUAGAGUACGGAAGAGGCGAGUGGAAUUCCUGGUGUAGCGGUGGAAUGCGCAGAUAUCAGGAGGAACACCAAUAGCGAAGGCAGCUCGCUGGGACGUUACUGACACUGAGGCGCGAAAGCGUGGGGAGCGAACAGG
rnacentral:rRNA from 1 species